GCGCUUAACACAUGCAAGUCGCACGAGAAAGGGGCAACCUGAGUAAAGUGGCGUACGGGUGAGUAACACGUGGAUUAUCUACCUCUUAGUGGGGAAUAACCCUGGGAAACCGGGGCUAAUACCGCAUAAGCUCGAGAGAGGAAAGCAGCAAUGCGCUGAGAGAGGAGUCCGCGGCCGAUUAGCUUGUUGGCAGGGUAAAAGCCUACCAAGGCAAAGAUCGGUAGCCGGCCUGAGAGGGCACACGGCCACACUGGCACUGAAACACGGGCCAG
rnacentral:rRNA from 1 species